GGAAAAAAUGUUUGCCUUCUCUGCUAAAGGCAAACAUUUGGACUUAUUCUGUUUUUUUUUACUGAAUUCUGGGGAAGAUCAACUUUGACACGAGUUUCACCGUGUGUGAGGUUUCGCUAAAUGAAGAUCGAGAACUUGGAGGAACGCCGCAAAUGGACGGCAUGAACUUUAAUGUCUCCAUUUGUGAUUCUGCCUUGCAGAGGAGACUGGAGUAGAUCAUGAAGAUCAUUUUCAUUUCUGAAGCAGAAAUCAUUAUGAAUAAUCGCUUGGAAAACAAUAAAACAAUCUAUUCUGAAUCAAAUUGUGUCCCCAAAAUUAGCAUCAACAGAUAGUAAAAGAUUCUCACCCCUACUGAAAAGACUGCAGUGAUGCAUUGAGAAGUUCUCAACGCAUCACUACAUAUUAUUCUUGCCAUUAAUUUUUAGCUGGACUUAAAUCUGGACUUUGACGAGGCCAUUAUAUCUAAACCGUUAUAUUUUAUCUAUUGCUUUAUGUUCAGGGUCAUUGAGACUCCAUCCAUCAGCAUGAUGCUAUCGGCGCCACGUCUCAGAUAACUAAAAUAUCUCUGAGUUUGCAUUUUACUGAAUGAAGAAAUAUCUGAACACAACAAUUUUGACAUCAUGAGAACUUCAACAGUCCUGCAGCACAGCUGUAAUUAAAUACGCAUCAAUGACCCUUUAAUGUGUCAAGAUGUGUCGCACGACUUCUCUUCGCCGUUAACCCCAGAACAGGAUCUUAAAGCUAUCUAAAUAAUGUUGGGCAAACCUCCAGCUCCGUUGCGCAACAUUCGGCUUCUGUUUAUGCAAGACUUCGGAGAAGCAUGCAGCCACCGAGCUGCAGGACGGAUUGCCAUGUUGCUGCGUACUUUAUCGACACGUCCAACCCUGAGCAACAAUAAAAGAGGCAGAAACAGGAGGCCGCGUGUACAUCCACGCAGGCCGCCGUUGAAGGGCGCAUCGGAUCAAACUGAGGCAAACGACUUUUUAUGGGUUGGCAACGAGCUCCGUACAUGCCAUACACAUCACACAUGAACCAUGCUAACUGCUCUUUAACAUCUGGUUGUGGUGUGUGCAGAGCAGCUGUGCGUGCGUGGGGGUGUGUGUGUGCGUGCGCUGCAAGCACAGAGCGAUCUCCCCUGACUAGACCUUGGUUUGUUCUUGGCACGGCCUUCUGGGUUACGACACCUCCACAGAGAGAGCGAGGGAAAGAGAGAGAGAGAGAAAGCUAAAGAGAGAGAACAAAAUGAAAACAGGAAGCCAAUUCUUAGAUGACAGAGAGAGAGAGAAAAAAAAGUAAGGGAGCGAUAUGCUGGUGUGGUUUUGCAACCGCAGUGACAUUAGGGAACGGCUUGUACUGUAAUAAGCUCCACCAAAAGCAGAAAUGACACGGACCGUAACAUGACAAAGAGUGCCAGCCAGCCAGCCAGAGGAGGCGCUUACGCAACAAGUUAUGCAAAAGACGGGACGGCGCACAUGUGAUCGUGACUAGAUCAUGAGCCGCUGUAAUGCAGCCUGAAACGCCUGAAAAUCCCGGAUUAAUCUGCAAUAUCACAGCAUGCAUUUCCAUUUGGGGAGGUUUUAAAAUGCAGAGCUUUGGAGACAAAAACAGUUUUUAAGUGGCUGCAAGUUCAGGAGGCAUCUUCGCAGAGUGAGCCGCAGACGAGAAUAUGGCUGAAUUAGCUUGGCGAAACCAUCCACUUAACCUUUGGAGGAGAGAGACGUGCAGAGAAGAUGCAGACAGAUUCCCUCAUUGCCUGAUCUGCAUUCAUCACAGCCUGCCUUUGUUGCGGCUGAAAACUCCGGAUUCAUCGCUGCGCUAUGUGUGAUUAUUACUUCUGUGAGCCGCAGCCGCUCGGAUAAACUUCUCUGGACCCUUUCCACGUAUCGAUCCGGCUCCAUCGACUGGCCUCGCAGAAAGCACCUGGGACGAUUUUAUGACCACGGGAGUGCAACUCCAGCUCCGUCACGUGAAGCUGAUGGAUUACAUCAAAGGCAGCAGAACCUCAGGCUGAUCUCCUCCAUAUUACGCUGCAUUGCCCCAACCAAGAACCGAGUGUACAUACUGUUCAUUAGGUUCACAUUCACGUAUUAAAAACUAUUUUUAAGUUGG